GGGCGGGGAGAAGGCCAUAUGUGGGAUGAAGAGCUGUGGUUAGCGGGACCUGAUGUUGUGUCGGUAAAAAUAUGGAGAAAAUGCAAGAUGACCCACUAUUAUAUAUGGAGAGAGAGAGAGAGAGAGACUGCAUGAUCACUUCCUCGGUUACUUUUAAGAGGAGGACACAAACUUCUUCCAGUCUUUGCUUUACAACCAUGCAGGUGGUGGUAGUGCUGGUGGUUGCUAUGUUUGUAGCUGCUGUGAGUGGAGUUGUUGACUACGAUGACACACCAGGAACUGUGGACGGUAAACACCAACCCUGGACCUCGAGGCUCUCGGGGAACACAACAGCAGCAAAAGAAAGAAGCCGUGUUAACAGAAUAUUACUACCCAUCUUGACCGUCAUCAAGUUUGCCAACUUGCACUGUCGCGUAGGGUCAAAGUCUGGUACAUGCUACACGGCCAGACAGUGCCGAGAGAGGAGUGGCCAGGAGUUGGGCGCCUGUGCUGAAGGCUUUGGGGUCUGUUGUUACAAGGAGAUCACCUGUGGAGGUACAACAUGGGCUAACGGCACGUACCUGGUAAGUCCCGGUUACCCCUCCUCAUAUAACGACGCCCGCACGUGUGACUUGACCGUAUCCCGCACACCUGGAGUUUGCCAGCUGCGGCUCGACUUCGAGACCUUCGAAAUUUUUCCGCCAGAUCAGUUCGGUCAUUGCAUCACGGACCAGUUCACUGUAGAUGAUGAGCGAAAGUUCAAGUUCCUGUGUGGUUCUGCUCCUUCAGAUUGGCACUUUUACCUGGAUGUGGCGGAGGGGUCAGGGCCCACGGUGCUCCGGAUAGUGACGGGCGCCUCGUCCUUUCGCAGACUUUUCAGUAUAAGAGUGACUAUGAUCGAGUGUGCCCAGAAAGUUCCUGGUGGGUGUGGACAAUACCUGACAGGGAACUCAGGCGUUGUGCAGAGUUUUAACUACGGUGGCUUUUAUCUGGCUGGCCUUGACUACGGCAUCUGUUUCAGGAAAGAGAAGAACAAGUGCAGUACAACAUUACGUGUGGCGGGUCCCUCUUUUGUGGGAUGCCCUAACGACUUGUACCGUCUUCCUGUGGGGCGAUCGGCAGCCGCUGUCAACAACCCUCUGGCGACGCUCUCUCUUUAUUGCCAACUGGAUACCAAUUUUGUGCCCUUCGCUUCGCUGGCAACCAUACAAUCUCCGCUUACCACUGUCACCCGCGGCCCCCUUGUCAUCUGGCAUCGGACCGACUCCAGUGAUGCCCAGCCCAACUAUCACAGCACCGCCGGCUGCACCGCUUGCUCGGGUUUUUACCAGACAUUCAUCCACAAUGACUGCUGACUGUAUUAUGUACAUCGCCCACUCAUGUUAUAGAAGCAUAUCACUUCUAAAAAAACACACACACACACAUUCACGGAGGAUUUUAUGCAGGUACUGCACGAAAUUAUAUGCCUAGUGGAUGCCAAGAUCUCUAUAUACGCCUCUUGGUGAUGCUAAGACGGUAGGAAAACUGCGUUUAGAUUGCAGCUAAAUCAAUCAAUUUAAAUUGUUAAUUAUUCAGCUAUGGUGACUUACUUGCCUAUUUCAUAUAUUUAUUUAUAAAACUUUUCAUUUAUCUUGCAUUGUUUUAACUUUGACAUUACUAGCAUUAUUUUAUAUUUACGACCAAAAUAUACAGUGUGCAAAUAAAUACAACAAUGCGUCUUCCAUUAUUGUCAAUAUUAUAGAAAGAGUUGAUUAAAAUAACAUAAAACAACAGCUAAUAAAAUCCUCAAUCAAUCUUCUAAAAUGUUGUACCUGUUCUGUUUUUAAAUACCCAUCAUACUUAACCCAUUCCAAGCGUCAUUGGUCGCGAACUCCCUACGUCAAGGGAUGCCUGCUACUGAUACGCAUCCUGAUUGGAUGGAACAUGUCUCUACGUCACCAUUCCCAGCCGGUGGCAAGUGUGGUUGGUGGAAGCAAGAUGAGUGUUUGGCGGGAAAGCGGCGCGUCCCUGGCAUGGCAUCACCCUUCCAACCAUUGUUUACCUUUUCCAUUUAAACCCAGUGGCUGCCUUGAACUUGGAACUCACCGUGUACUCAGGUCGUGACACACCCUGAAAGAUAACCCCGCCUGAGAGUAACGCAGAGUGGGCAGACAGACUUGGUCAGCUACAGUCAAUCUCCCAUCCUCAUAUCUAUCCCCAACACCCUCACCUGAUGAACUGAUUAUCAGGGAGCGAGGGAGAAGGUCUUUACCCAUUGAGUGGUCCCCUAUACCCAU
rnacentral:misc_RNA from 1 species